rnacentral:rRNA from 1 species
UAACCUGCCCAAGAGAUCGGGAUAACACCUGGAAACAGAUGCUAAUACCGGAUAACAACAGAUGAUGCCUAUCAACUGUUUAAAAGAUGGUUCUGCUAUCACUCUUGGAUGGACCUGCGGUGCAUUAGCUAGUUGGCAGGGUAACGGCCUACCAAGGCGAUGAUGCAUAGCCGAGUUGAGAGACUGAUCGGCCACAUUGGGACUGAGACACGGCCCAAACUCCUACGGGAGGCAGCAGUC